rnacentral:rRNA from 1 species
UGCCAGCCGCCGCGGUAAGACAGAGGGUGCAAACGUUGUUCGGAAUUACUGGGCGUAAAGCGUGUGUAGGCGGUUUUGUAAGUCAGGUGUGAAAGCCGGGGCUCAACCUCGGAAGUGCACUUGAUACUGCAGGGCUAGAGUAUCGGAGAGGUUGGUGGAAUUCUCGGUGUAGAGGUGAAAUUCGUAGAUAUCGAGAGGAACACCGGUGGCGAAGGCGGCCAACUGGACGAAUACUGACGCUGAGACACGAAAGCGUGGGGAGCAAACAGGAUUAGAUA